AGGUAGGCAGGGAUGGAAGGUAGGUAGGCAGGGAUGGACGGUAGGUAGGGAUGGAAGGUAGGUAGGCAGGGAUGGACGGUAGGUAGGGAUGGAGGGUGGGUAGGGAUGGAAGGUAGGUAGGGAUGGAAGGUAGAUAGGCAGGGAUGGACGGUAGGUAGGGAUGGAAGGUGGGUAGGGAUGGAAGGAAGGUAGGCAGGGAUGGACGGUAGGUAGGGAUGGAAGGAAGGUAGGCAGGGAUGGACGGUAGGUAGGGAUGGAAGGUGGGUAGGGAUGGAAGGAAGGUAGGCAGGGAUGGAAGGUAGGUAGGCAGGGAUGGAAGGUAGGUAGGGAUGGAAGGUAGGGAAGGUAGGUAGGCAGGGAUGGAAGGUAGGUAGGUAGGGAUGGAAGGUGGGUAGGGAUGGAAGGUAGGUAGGCAGGGAUGGAAGGUAGGUAGGCAGGGAUGGAAGGUAGGUAUGUAUGUAAGGUAGGUAGGCAGGGAUGGAAGGAAGGUAGGCAGGGAUGGAAGGAAGGUAGGCAGGGAUGGAAGGUAGGCAGGGAUGGAAGGUAGGUAGGCAGGGAUGGAAGGUAGGUAGGCAGGGAUGGAAGGUAGGGAUGGAAGGUAGGGAUAGAAGGUAGGCAGGGAUGGAAGGUAGGCAGGGAUGGAAGGUAGGGAUGGAAGGUAGGCAGGGAUGGAAGGUAGGUAGGGAUGUUAAUGUCAAUAGAAAAGUUUAAACUCUGAUUCCUG
ensembl:lncRNA